UCUUAACAAAAGGAAGGUGAAAGCCAAAUGAAACUGAUCCCAGAUGCUGUUCAUGACGCGAGUUGCUGCCAAAUUUGAAUCUGGAACCAAUGGAAGACCAGCUCAGCCACUUAAACAGAAGUGAAAUGAUUUUGUAGCUAUAGUUUCAGAAAGCAUACCUUACACUCUUUAAAUCAUAUUGUCGCUAUUGCUGUUGAUCAUAUAGAAAUCUUUACAGACUUUUUA
rnacentral:misc_RNA from 1 species